CCUACGGGGGGCAGCAGUGGGAAAUAUUGCACAAUGGGGGAAACCCUGAUGCAGCGACGCCGCGUGAGUGAAGAAGUAUUUCGGUAUGUAAAGCUCUAUCAGCAGGGAAGAAAUACUGACCUUACGGUCAGCAGACGGUACCUGACUAAGAAGCCCCGGCUAACUACGUGCCAGCAGCCGCGGUAAUACGUAGGGGGCAAGCGUUAUCCGGAAUUACUGGGUGUAAAGGGAGCGUAGACGGCUGUGCAAGUCUGGAGUGAAAGGCGGGGGCCCAACCCCCGGACUGCUCUGGAAACUGUAUGGCU
rnacentral:rRNA from 1 species